rnacentral:lncRNA from 1 species
UGUCACCUCCCAUGUUACUGUACCCUCCCAUGUUACUGUCACCCUCUCAUGUACUGCACCUCCCAUGUUACUGUCACCUCCCAGUUAGUCACCCAUGUCACUCCCAUGUUACUGUCACCUCCCAUGCUACUGUCACCUCCCAUGCUACUGUCACCUCCCAUGUACUGUCACCUCCCCUGCUACUGUCACCUCCCAUGCUACUGUCACUCCCAGUCUACUGUUACUCCCAUGCUACUGUCACCUCCAUGCUACUGUUACCUCCAUUACUGUACCUCCCAUGCUAGUUCACUCCAUGCUACUGUCACCCUCCAUGCUACUGUCACCUCCCAUGCUACUGUCACUCCCUGCCUGCUACUGUUCACCUCCCAUGCUACUGUCACCCCCAUGCUGUCACCUCCCAUGCUACUGUCAAUCCCUGCUACUGUUCACCUCCCAUUGCUCCUGUUACCUCCCAUGUUACUGUCACUCCCAUGCUCUGUCAACUCCCCUGCUACUGUCACCUCCCCUGCUACUGUCCCCUCCCAUGCUACUGUCACUCCCAUGUUACUGUCACCUCCAUGCUACUGUCACCUCCCAUGUACUGUCAC